CUCAACUAAAAGAUCCAUGGUUCAAAAAAGGCUACAAGCCACCUGUUUUUUACGAGAAAUACCAAACUAGCUUUGAUGAUGUUGAUGCUGCUUUUGGAGAUUCAGAGGAAAAACAUGUGAAAGAGGAAAUGGAAGUCCUGUUUUUUGGUGUUGACCAAAAAUAUAGGUUACCUUGUUCUGAUAUACAGGAGUGGGAAUCUGGUUUUCUCAGUGUUUUUGCAGAAAAAAAGAGAUCUGUUUUUGCAAUAUAUAGGUUACCAGGUUCUAAUAUAUAGGUUACCUAGUUCUAAUAUAUAGGUUGCCUAGUCUCGUCCAUUUCUGAAAUUGUCAACUUAAAAACCUUGAUAGAAAUGCAGAACAGUAUAAGGUGUACACAAAAAAUAUAUGAAAAGCUUAGAUCUAAACAUGCCUUUUUUCUUAACCGGCCCUUUUUGCUAGUAGAUUGGGCUCUUGCCUCGUCGAAAUACAGAACAGUCAAUGGUGUACACAAAAAAUAUAUGAAAGGUUUAUAUGAUUAAUUAAAAGUAAAGAUAUCCUUAAAGACUUCAAACUGUCAACUCGAAACUCAAAAGAAAUGCCAACCAAUCUAAGAUUUACACAAAAAAAUCUUGGUCAUCUUCGUCUUGGAUAUCAACUGGAGCGACAACUCCAUCAUCAAUGUAGGUGUCGUCAGGAUCAAGGUCUUCGUCUGCUAUCUCCUCAUCACCAGGUUCAGGCAUGGGUGAAGCACGCGCAUUCUCAAUAACUGAAGCAUCACCACUGACCCCUUCCACGUCGGUCCUACGCCAAACUGUCAAUUCAUCUUGAUUAUGUUGAACAUUCAUAUGUUCCACUCCUACUACGAGUGAGUCAGCAUCGGUAUCAGCAACAAUAUUAGAACCGUCUUCUCCUUCAGGCAUUGCAAACAGGUUCCUAGGUUUCAGUCUAAGGACGCCGCACCAAUUAGCUCUCUUAGCGGUUUUCACAUAACACACCUGCUCUGCCUGUGUGGCCAGGAUGUAUGGCUCGUCUGCAUAUCGACGCAAAGUGGUAUCAAUAUCGAUGAUCCCAUAUUGAUCUUUAUUGAACCCUCUUGAUUUCGUCCUAUUUGCUCCAGGAACAUCAAACCACUCGCACUCGAACAAUACGACUUCCUUCUCGUCAGGAAAUUCAAGGGUAAUGAUUCUUUUAAGAACUCCGUACCACUCCAUGCCAUCACCCAUGACAACAACACCACUGUUCUGAGUGACUAGGGAUUUCUCUAGAUCAAUGGUCUGAAAGAGAAAGUCAUUAAUGACACACCUAUUGGACACACGAACUCGAUGAUCUGGACCACGAGAUAGAUUAUAUAGAUUUUCAUCGACUUCUCCCUGUUCAUGCAGUAUCCUAAUCUGCAGUUACAUGUGAAAUAUAUUAGUAAUAUACAUAAAAAAUUGACAAGGUACAAAUGAUCCGAGAUAUAUCGCUCACUUUACGUUCAAACCAAGACACAAAUUGUUUCUCGUGCCUUUCUUCAACUUUGUGCGUGCUGGUUUUCCUCAAUUCAGCCAUAUGCUGUCUGAAAAUUUGUUAAUAAUCUCCUCAAUUAAAUGUAUAGUCAGCACAUAAAUACUAGAAAUUUCUAAUAAUAAAAAUUUCACAUGAAACUUACUCUAUCCAAUCGUUGGUCUCUUCACUGUUUGAAAGUAUGUAGUACCUCAUCUUCUGCAAGACAGAAUCAGGUACAGCCUCGAGACUUACUAUGGCACGAUCGAAGUCCAAUUUCCCAAAUACACUUAGCCCAGAAGGUGGUUCAUCAGCGCUCUGUACAUGACGAUCUGCCCUGUUCUCCUUUGUAGAAAUGUCAUCAAAGAACCGAGAACAGAAUGUAGUGCACUCCUCCGAGAUAUAUCCCUCUGCUAUUGAACCUUCUGGCAGCGCUUUGUUCCUCACAUAGCCUUUCAGGGUACGUAGAUACCUUUCUACUGGAUACAUCCAUCUAUAGCAAACCGGGCCUCCAAGUCUAGCCUCUUCAGCUACAUGAACUGGUAAAUGCACCAUAAUAUCAAAAAACGCCGGUGGGAAUAUCAUCUCUAAGCGACAAAGGGUCUCUGAAAUCAAACUGCUAAGUUUUUCGAGUUCAGCCACCUCCAGCUCCUUCGAACAUAUUGAGUUAAAGAAGCUGCUGAGCUGGAUCAAUGGGAUCGCUGUAACUUCAGGCAAUAUAUGGCGUACCACCAAGGGUAUAAGUUUUUGUAACAUAACAUGGUAGUCAUGACUUUUAACUCCAACAAGCUUGCAACCGGCGACGUCAACACAUCGCCUGAUAUUUGAGGCAUAACCAUCUGGCAUCUUCACCUCUUGUAGAAAUUUGCACAUGAUUUGCUUCUUUUCUUUCUCUAAGUAGUACAACCCUGGCGGCAAAGUGUAUUUACCAUCGGUGAUCUCUGGAUGCAUAUCCGUCCUUAUACCCAUAUGUUGCAGAUCAAGUCGAGCAUUCUCACCGUCCUUAGAUUUACCAUCUAUACCCAGCAAUGUCCCCAUCAAGCUCUCACAUAUGUUCUUCUCAACAUGCAUCACAUCUAAAUUAUGGCGUAUAAGCAAUGAUUUCCAAUAAGGAAGCUAAAAAAAAAAUACUCUUCUUCCUCCAGUUGUGCCACCUAUUAUCUUCAUCAUGCUGCUUCCUCUUCCUUGAACCAAUUCCGAAAGUUACUUGCUCAAAACUAGUGUACUGCUGCAAUACCUCCUCACCACUGAGCGGCACCGGACGCUCCCUGGUUUCAUACCUGUUAUUGAAGUUGUCCUUGUUUCUUCGCCACCUGUGGUCCAAGGGCAAAAAA